rnacentral:misc_RNA from 1 species
AGAGGCCAUGGACAAUGGAGCUGGCAUGACAUUUCUUGCAUUAAAAUUUUCACAUACUAUCCAACAUUACAUUAAAUAUUUACAUACACAAAUAUAUAGUCCAAAAUACCAACUACCACCAAAUAACAAAAAAUGUACAGGCUUGCUCUAAAUUCCCACCACUCCUUUGAACCCAGUCAAUAAUAUCUUUCAUAGUCUCCUUUCCUAGUUAGCUCUAAAAAACUGAGACUUGCCAAUUAACCAGUGUUAAUACUCUCCAACCGUUCUCCAACUACAAACCAAAGCCUACCAUGCCAACAAACAAACAGCAACAGCAAGCAGAAAAUUAAAAACAAAAGGCCAAAAAUGAAACAGGCACAAAGGAUUAGCCCCAUGUCUCAGUUAUCAGCUGAAUCUGAGCUUAUUACAGUCCCUUCACCUUCAAUGGAAAACAUAGGGAGUUUGCUUCCAGGAGUCAUCUUCUUCAGAUCUUGACUCGAGCAUAUAAAGAUUCUUCUAACCAUGUUACAGAAUUCAAGCCAUGGAUCAUCACCAACAAGCAUCAUAUCCCCUUCAUCAUCAGUGUAGACAAUUUCCCACUUAUGACAGUGAAGCUGUCCCUUAAUGUCGAACAUCUCCUCCAGCUCAUCUAAGAGCUGAUCAUACCCUUUCAUCAUGGUCAAGUCUAUGGCCCGACCGACAGCAAUCCCCUGCAUUUGAACCUUGGUGCGACUUCUUGUGGAAGCAGAACAACUUUGCCUGCUCUGAACAUCUUUUGGUGAUACUUGUAAUUGUUCUGGUUUCUUUUCUUUGGACACAUCAGAUUUUUUAUCAGAAUCAACUGCUGAGAGUGUACUCAGAACAUGCCCCUCAGUGGGGCCAACAGAUAUGCUAACUGGUUGUGCAGGUGCCUUCUCAAUCUCAACAGGAAGAGAGCUUGUAAAACGAUUUAUGAGCUCAAUGCCAAAUAAUCGAUAACUAGUACCCGCCUCAUAUUUCCUCCCUUUCUCCACAGGGUCAAGGAUCGAGUCAUUCUUCAACUUUGCAGACUGAGGAGUUGAAUAGCCUGAGAUGACAGGCCAGUUGGAGACACUUUUACUAUCCUCAGUUGCUUCCGGUCUGCUUGUGAUGCCACAUGAAAUGAUUCUCAUUUCUUUUGCCUUCAGCAGUACCAUUCAAUUGUGUUAAAUAGUGGGACUGCGUCAAUGGAGAAUUCCAUGGUUGUGAUGCAGUUGAAGAUAAAUCAAGGGUGGGAAUUUCAAUGGGCGGCCGGGGCCUUUUGCUUUUCACUGCUACUGGUUGAGCCAUAUUUGUUGGUGCUGAAGACACAAAUGGUUCUAUUUCCCAUGGU